GAUUCACAUCGUCAAAAAAUUUUGGUCUGUGAAGUUCGUGCGGAUGAAAUUCGAUUUCAAAGCCAGCGAAAUAUGCAAAAUAAAGUGAAAUACCAGUGCCUCGCGGACGAGGAGCGCUUCAGCGGAGCGUCCCGCAGCCUGUAGAGCCAAAAGAGCGGCCCCAAAUCUGGUAAUUUCGCGGCGAAAAGCAAGCAGGAGAAGAAGAAGCAGCAGCAGCAGCAGUAGUACAAACAGCAAAAGUGUAGUUGUGAUCGAAAAUCGAAAGUGUGAAGCAUUUUCUAUAAAUAGUGCAAAAUCAAAACCAAAUUCCCAGUGCAAACAAAAGCGCAAUAAAAAACAAUAACAAAAACCGGGGAUAAAGCGAACAAUAUAACAACGAUAAAUAUACAUAUAACUGGAGCGGUCGAUCGAUCUCACAGAGCGCGCGCUCUGCACAAAGAAAGCAGGAUUAUCUGAAGGAUCGCCUUAGUAGAGGAUCUCCAAGAUGUCCUCGCUGGACGCGCGCAACAACUCGGCGAUGAUGAAGCGGGCGGAGCAGCUGAAGCGCUGGGAGGAGUCAGACACCAACCGCGCCGCCCCCACCCCCCGCCACGAGCACGGGCGCCGGAUCAAGUUCAGCUCCGGCUGCGUCUUCCUCGCCGCCUGCCUCUCCGGAGACAAGGACGAGGUCAUCCAGCUCCUCGACCAGGGCGCCGACAUCAACACAGCCAACGUCGACGGCCUGACCGCCCUGCAUCAGGCGUGCAUAGAUGACAAUCUGGACAUGGUGGAAUUUCUGGUGGAGCGAGGUGCCGACAUAAACCGACAGGAUAAUGAGGGCUGGACGCCCUUGCAUGCCACUGCCUCCUGCGGCUUUGUGAGCAUAGCUCGGUACUUGGUAGAAAAUGGCGCUGAUGUGGCCGCUGUGAACAGCGAUGGCGAUCUGGCCUUGGACCUGGCCAUCGAUGUGCAACACAUGGCCAUGAUCGACUACAUGGAGAAGAUGGUGCAGGAGCUGAACAUAAAUGUGGAUGAGGCUCGAAAGGCUGAGGAGCAGGCGAUGCUGAACGAUGCCAAAAAGUGGCUGAGAAGCGAUGCCGCCGAGGUGGACAGACCGCAUCCAAAAACGGGAGCCACAGCGCUCCACGUGGCCGCCGCUAAGGGUUACACGAAAGUUCUGGGCCUGCUCCUGGCCGGUCGUGGCAAUGUGGAUCGCCAGGACAACGAUGGCUGGACGCCUCUGCACGCGGCAUCGCAUUGGGGUCAACGGGAAACGGCCGAGAUGCUCGUGGAGUCACUGGCCGACAUGGAUAUACGCAACUAUGCUGGGCAGUCAUGCAUCGAUGUGGCCGAUCGCAAAAUAGUCAAAUUCCUGGAAGAACUGCGGGCCAACAAACGCAACAAACGGCGACCAUCUAGUCAAAUCAGCAGAAUCUCAGAUACGAUUGAAAAUCAUGUGGACAAGACGCCCACCAAACUGGUGCGCGUUGAAGUGAGAACUGAUGCCACAAAGGAUGCUGAGAACGUCAAGCCCAAUCAGCAGAUCCAUGCCACCGAACAUGCAGUCGAGGAGGAGGCGCCCUGGCGACGCAAGCUGCCACGGACACCAAACGACAGUCCCACUAAUAAUCAAGUUCCUGAUAGAGAGCUUAGCAGCAAUAGCUCGGAGACCGCCAACGACGUCAUUUUGCGACGCACGCAAAGCUUUGAGAACGAUCAAAAAUUCUAUCAAAAGUACAAUGAGCUGCGGGCACGCAUAAAGGCCAACUCCUGUCCCAUUCUGCCGGCGAAUGCGAACGCUAAUGCCGCUGCUGCCAAUAAUUCCAAUAACAACAAUAAUCUUAGUAGCAAUAACAAUCAUAAUAACAACAAUAACAACAACAAAAGCGAUCUGCUGUUGGGAUAUGCUGCUGGCACAACAACAACAAGCACCUCCACGACAACUUCAACAACAAUCAGUACAUUCAACAACACCCACUCGAACACCAACAACACAAGCACACCACAACAACAACCAGCAGCAGCAGCUUCGGCAACAAAUCAAUUAUAUAGCGUACAAAGAUCGGCCUCACUCAAAGAUAACUCAAUGUAUUACAGGAAACCGAACGUUACGAUUGCCACGCCAACAAGUGCUGCAGCCACGGCAAACACGGCGCUCAAUUCUCCAUCGACUGUACAGACCCCACCAAUUCGCAGCCAAGUUACAGCGAAAUCAGCAGAAAAGAGCAAUAAUGGCAGCUCGUCCACGGCCAGUGUCAGCGAUGUGGAGAGCUCCAAGCCACCGCCCAAACAAUCCGCGAGCAAUAUGAUCAAAAACUUCUUCAAAUCGUUUGUGCCACCGGUGCGCGAUGAGGAGAGUGAAACGCAGCGAAAGGCACAUGCCAAGCGCGUGAGGGAGACUCGCCGGUCAACCCAGGGCGUUACUCUGGACGAGAUCAAGAGUGCCGAGGAGCUGGUCAAGAAGAAGAACAUGGGCAUGGCCAACAACAACAACAAUAACAAUAUCAGCACCACCACUACGAACACCAUCAGCAACAGCGGCAACGAAACAAGCUCAGCAUCAUCGACAUCGACAUCAGCUCCAACAUCAUCGAUCCUCGACAGCAAUGAGCAGCGGGACGAGUCGCAACCGCCACCACCGCCCACCACACCACCGCCAGCCAUAAUACCCACCACAACGACGGCCACCGAUGAGACGGAGAUCGAGGAGGUGGUAACCAAUCCUCCUUCAGCUGUCCAAAGUCUGAACGAUACCACUGCUAGUUUUACCCUAUCCGCUCCGGUGCGAAGAUCGCUUUCGGGCGAUGCCGAUGCCAAUAGUGAUCCCGAGGGGGAUCAGGAUCAGUCGGUGGUCAGUGCCAGCUAUACGAUAAUGCCCAGGCGGGAAAGGCUUCCCGAAAGCACAGAGAAUGCAGAGAGUAUCAGAUCUCCGCAAAAGACUGACCCAGUUGCCAAAAGUUCCAGCGAGGAGAAGGCCGAGGAGCCACCACUUGUUAGACCCACGGAUCUGCCACUGAUCCCAGCUCCUGCAGUGGCCAGCACAGAAGCUAUCAAAUCAUCCUCGGCAGCCACCACGCCCGCUGCCCUCGAGAGUCCAGUGCGUUUGCGGGACAAGCGGGGUUUGGCCGGCAGUCAGGACUCGGAAACAAAGUCCGAUACCGCUUCGCCCGUGACCUCUCAUCCGGAUUUCAAUGCCCGGGACUCACUACUUAGUCUGUACGCCCGACGCACAACGGAAAGCGGCGCGGGAGGAGGUGCUGGUGGUGGUGCAGGUGGAGCGAGUGGAGCUGCCUCUUCGUCUUCCACAUCUGCAGCAGAACGGCGUCCGUCUUGGCGCCUGAAAUUCGAUGCCGGCUCCAAGUUUAAACUGGAGGACAUAACCAGCGGGGGCACAUAUCCGCCGAACAACAGCACUAUUAUCCCGAGUGCUCCGGCGGUGAUGGCAGCCGUCAAUUUAUCAACUACAACUGGAGUCCAGCGGCGCAUCAGCAGCGGUCCCAACGCACUAAAUGCUUCCAAUCAGUCGCUCAACUCUGUGGGUCGUCCUGUUUCCGCGCCCAGCGAGGGCACCAACAACAGUGCCUAUGUCACGCCCUCAGCUCGAAAAUACGAGGCGAAUGCCACGUCAACGGCGGCGAACUCAACAGCGGCCGCGACCACUAACUCAACCUCCAAUUCAGUGUCUGCAACCAGUGCCAAUCAUGCAGCGGCUACGGCAACUAGCGCUACGUCAAACCAUGACGAUAAGGAUAACGACAAGGAGAACGAUAAUCGCACACAGACCGUCAUUCAGAGGCGACGCAAGCCGAAGCGCAGAUCAACAGGCGUGGUGCACAUCGAUAUGGAUGAACUGGAUCCCGAGCGACAGAACGAAUCGUCCAACAACGACAACGAGGAGAAAGAAAAGGAGAGUGGCAGUGAGCGGACUUCCCGUUCCCGACUGGGCAGCACCGCGAGUACGGCCACCACGAGCGAGUCGAAGAGCUCCAGCAGUAACGACAAGGCGGAGAAUGGUGAUGGCAUUGACUACAAGGCGCUCUACGAAGCUGCCAAAUUGGAGAACGAUAAGCUGAAGCAGAUAAUCAAGCAGAAGGACGACGAAGCCGUGCAGACACGUGCAACGCUCGAGAGAUUCGCCAAUGCCACAACGAAAAAUUCACUAUCUGAACUUGAGAAACGCGAAAGAAGAGCUAUGGAACGCAAGCUUUCCGAGUUGGAAGAAGAGCUCAAGCUAUUGCAGAAGCUAAAGACUGAGAACGAUCGUCUGCGAGCCGAGAAUCGGGCCCUCACGCGGGUCGUCUCCAAGCUGACCACCUCGGCUCAGAGUCAGCUGGCCAAGACCAAAUAGACGCAGAUCAAAAGCAUUUAGAUUGCCCAGCACCAGCCCACAUACACCCGAAAUUCUCACGCCCCUUGCUCACAAGCACUAUGUCGCGAUUAUCGUUAUAUCGUUUCUAUUAGAACUGGAAAAAGAUCGAUGUUCUUAUAGGUAAACAUCGAUAAUCAAUAACACCGAUGUUUUUCUUGCUCUAGUUUCUUUAAUUCAAUUUUUAACACACCUCGAUGUCGUUAUGAAUUAUAUAUGGAUAUUUAAGCAUAACCGAAUACACAAUAACUAAAUGUAUUGUACCUAAAUUAAGUUAUCAUUGAGCUCAUUGGCUUCGGACUGGUCACUGGUAAAACGUAAACCUUAAACAUAACUAUAUACUACAUCUCCUUGGGAGUUACUAUAUACUACAAAACCCUUUGAUAAAACCGCAAACUUCAAAAGUAGUUAAUUUUUAAAUAGUAAAAUAUUAAUCUCACGUUUUUGAUAACCUAAAUAUGCGCUAGGAAAAAAAAUGUUUGCGAAUUUAUAAUGUAAUUAUAACCCACAGACCACUGUACGGUUGAUAAGUACUUUAAAAUCAAAAGCUAGCCUACGCUCGAAUCAAAGUAAAGCUCAUCGAAACCAACGAGAUCAAUCAUCAAGCCCCCACCACCAAAAAAAAAAACAGCAUCAGCAAAUAGCGGCCCAAGGAUCUGGAGGCUACUUGUAGGGUCUCCAGAAGUCGAACAUCAGGGAGAGCAAAGUGGUCUAGUUGGUGAUGCUGGAAGCUUAACGCAACUCGAUACCUACAAGUCGGAUAAUCAUCGCCUGAAGGAGGAGAACGCCGCGUUGAUUAGAGUAAUUAGCAAAUUAAGUAAAUGAAAUUAUGUUUUACUUUCAGUGUAUGUAUGUCUGAGAACCUAUAUCAUCGAGAAGCAACAAUUUUACUUUAUUUACCAGCUGCAAAAAGGCUGAAAAAAGAAGAGAAUGUUAAAGCGAAAAGCGAUGUAAGCGAAAGCGGGAUAUUCGCGUGGAAAUUUCAAAAUUUGUUUAUUAUUUGUGUUAGGCCCCUAAGAAUUAGGUGAAACCAUGUUUCAAAUAUCGUUGAGAAUUGUUUCGUUCGUUUUUAUAUGAAAAAAAAAAAUAAUAAAAUCUUAUGUAUUUGGUCAAAUUUUAUAUACAAAAUAGAGCAAAUUAUAAAUAAACUUACACAAAUCAAGCUUAACUAUAUUUACAUAAACAUACGCGAUGUGUAUAACGAUCAGAAGAUCGCAAGAAAUGAAAUGAGAAACAAAAACCUUUACAUACAAACUGAGAACAUAUUCAUCAAAUGAGCCCUAGUUAUAUACAAUAGUUAUACACAUUACAUAAUAUAUAUUUAAAUCAACCGAAUCAUAAGUUCAACAUUUCAAUGUGUAAUAUCAUCGAGGAUCCAGACCGCCAGUUGAGAGAGUCCGGAGAUGUGUCGAAACCAGCCCACGCGUCAACUUACUAAGUGUAAUCGUUAUCAUCCAAUUGUAAUUGUGUUUAGUGCUUCAUAUAUAUAGGCAUCGGUGAAGCCAUCAAAAGCUAUAGUAUGUGUACCAUAAAACUGAGGAGACUUUGUUGCAGGGGCUCCAUGGCGCUAUCCUAUAGAUAGGAUGGGUUUCACUACAGAUGCACUAUUAUUUCUAUUAUUUGAGUACCUUAAUUUAAGCAGGCACUUUUAGUUCUCUCCUUCACUUCGAAACGUAUUAUAUACAUUUACAUCGUACUAUAUUUUACUUUCGCUUAUAACGAAACAAAUGAUCAUACGCAUAUUUCUGUUAUUUAUUAAAUUCGCUUAAGAGAUUUUGUGUUACUCUACUCGUAAAUGAAAACGAUAAUCAAGCAUAAACAAACAUAAAAACGUGAAUUGUGUAAUAUGUAAAAUUGUGUGAGAAAAUAUUUAAGAAAAUUUGAUUCAAAUACGAAACUUAAUAAAUGUGAUCGCAAGCAAA